GAUGAACGCUGGCGGCGUGCCUAAUACAUGCAAGUCGAGCGAACAGACGAGGAGCUUGCUCCUCUGACGUUAGCGGCUGUCGUGUUAGUAACACGUGGAUAACCUACCUAUAAGACUGUUAUCACUUCUUGAAACCGGCGCUAAUACCGGAUCAUAUAUUGAUCCGCAUUGUUCCUUAGUCAACCACGGUUUUUCUGUCUCUUUUAGAUGUUUCCGCGCCGCAUUAGCUAGUUGGUAAGGUAACGGCUUACCAAGGCAACGAUUCGUAGACGAACUGAGAGGGUGAUCGGCAAAACUGGAAGGGAGACACGGAACAGACUCCUAAGGGAGGCAGCAGUAGGGAAAAGGGCGCAAAGGGCGAAAGAAGGAGGGAGAAACGCGGCGUGAGAGAUGAAGGGCUGAGGAGCGUAAAACGCGGUUAAUAGGGAAGAACAAAAGUGUAAGGAAAUAAGCACGAAUUGACGGUACCAAAUCAGAAAGCAACGGCUAACUACGUG
rnacentral:rRNA from 1 species